rnacentral:rRNA from 1 species
UACGGGAGGCAGCAGUGGGGAAUAUUGCACAAUGGGCGAAAGCCUGAUGCAGCUAUGCCGCGUGUAUGAAGAAGGCCUUAGGGUUGUAAAGUACUUUCAUCGGGGAGGAAAAACAAAACUAAUAAUUUUAUUUCUUGACGUUACCCGAAAAAGAAGCACCGGCUAACUCCGUGCCAGCAGCCGCGGUAAUACGGAGGGUGCUAGCGUUAAUCAGAAUUACUGGGCGUAAAGAGCACGUAGGUGGUUUUUUUAAGUCAGAUGUGAAAUCCCUGGGCUUAACCUGGAACUGCAUUUUGAAACUGAAAUACUAGAGUAUCGUAGAGGGAGGUAGAAUUCUAGGUGUAGCGGUGAAAUGCGUAGAUAUCUGGAGGAAUACCUGUGGCGAAAGCGGCCUCCUAAACGAAUACUGACACUGAGGUGCGAAAGCGGUGGGGAGCAAACGAGGAUUAGAUACC